rnacentral:rRNA from 1 species
GACGAACGCUGGCGGCGUGCUUAACACAUGCAAGUCGAACGGAAAGGCCCUGCUUUUGUGGUGUGCUCGAGUGGCGAAAGGGUGAGUAACACGUGAGUAUCCUGCCCUUGACUUUGGGAUAACUUCAGGAAACUGGGGCGAAUACCGGAUAGGAGCUCCUGCUGCAUGGUGGGGGUUGGAAAGUUUCGGCGGUUGGGGAUGGAUUGGCGGCUUAUCAGCGUGUUGGUGGGGUAGUGGCUGACCAAGGCUUUGACGGGUAGCCGGACUGAGAGGGUGACCGGCCACAUAGGGCCUGAGAAACGGCCCGGAGGGAUACGGGCGGCAGGGGCGGGGAUUAGUGCGAACAGCGCGGCGGGAGGAAGCAGGAAUGUCGGGUGGGAGAUCACGGCUUUCGGGUAGUAACCAGUUUUCGAGUGAGAGUUAGCGUGUGGAAGGGUACUGGCCAGAGAGGCACGGCUUACUUCGGU